CCAGUGGUAGCCUAGUGGUUAAGGUGCCGGCUUAGAAUGCAGUAGCCUGAAAAGUUGUGGGUUCAAUUCCCGGCUUCCACUGCU
rnacentral:tRNA from 1 species